AGAUUGAACGCUGGCGGCAGGCCUAACACAUGCAAGUCGAGCGGCAGCACGGGUACUUGUACCUGGUGGCGAGCGGCGGACGGGUGAGUAAUGCCUAGGAAUUUGCCUGAUAGUGGGGGAUAACGUUCGGAAACGGACGCUAAUACCGCAUACGUCCUACGGGAGAAAGUGGGGGAUCUUCGGACCUCACGCUAUCAGAUGAGCCUAGGUCGGAUUAGCUAGUUGGUAGGGUAAAGGCCUACCAAGGCUACGAUCCGUAACUGGUACUGAGAGGAUGAUCAGUCACACUGGAACUGAGACACGGUCCAGACUCCGUACGGGAGGCCAGGUCAGUGGGGGAAUAGUUGGACAAGUGGGGACGAAAAGCCUAGGAUCCAGGCCAUCGACGCGUGUGUAGGAAGAAGGUUCUUACGGAUUAGUAAAGCUAACUUAAGGUUGGGA
rnacentral:rRNA from 1 species